UUCCAGCGCUGGGCCCGGCCGCUGCAAGCCUUGUUGGGUCAGCAUGUGGGAAGUCACCGAGAUGGAGUUUGAGGCGGUCGGCCUCAACCAUGAGGGUGUGCAUGGAUCUGUAGCGGCAGCCUGGUGUAAUUAUGUACAUUGGCUGGCCGUGAGCCUUGCCAGGGAGUGCUGGGCGGCCUGGUGCCCCGGCUGAAGGCAAGCGGCCUCCCUGAGACACCCAAAGACUGGCUGCCAGAAGGUCUUGUGCUGGUACUGGUGUCUGAAGGCUGUGCAGUGGUGCAGACACAGGCUCAGAGUGCCCAGGUGGAGCCAGGCUCUGAUACUGGUUGCCGCCUGUCUGGGAGCACUCACAGAGGCCGGCGCCCUCAGCAGUGACGAGGAGUCUCUCCCUGAAAGCUCUCCCUCAAGGCACAGCAGCAGGCCACCGCCGCCCUUGUCAUCGGGAGCACCGAGAGUAUCCCGAGGAACACUUCAAUGUCCAGGUGUGAGGAUGUCAAGCCACCACAAGCCAGGAGGGAAGUGGCUGCUGGGGCCAAGACAGCAGGUGGAGAGGAACCAUUAAGAAACAUGAUCCCGCUGCUACCACCACCGGGUUCAGCCUCAGCUCUUCACCCCUGGACGGAGGAGUGUUUCUUGGCGGCCAAACUCAGGAGACUCACCAGAAAAGACCAUUCACCCGUGCCUUAUAUCGUGGGUGAGGAGAGCAGCCUGGACCAAGAAUCAAGAACUGGAAUGAAGAACCAAUUAAUUAAGGCUCUGAGACUGACUGAACUCCCUUGAAGUAAAAAUGAGGUGCCUGGCCAAGCUGCUGGGUCCGUGUGACCACCGCGGGGACGCUGGAGGAGCCCGGUGCUGCCUUCCUGGGGCCCACACCCUCCUCAGCAUCUCCCUGCCUUGUUACACUCAAUGACAAUAGGUGUGUUGACCAAGAAGAAGAAGAAGAGGAGGAGGAGAAGAAAGAUGAUGAUGAUAGAGGCAACAUGAAGAAAAGAAGAGGAGGAGGAGGAAGAAUGGAAGAACAAGAACAAGAGGAGGAAGAAGAGAAGAAGAAACACACACACACACAGGCACAUAAGACAAACACCUAUUUUUUUUAUAUUAUCCAUUUUUAUUAGUCCCUAUAACAUACAUUAUAUACAUACAAUCAUAUUAUACAACAUAUGCAUAAUUCUAUACAUUAGAUCAUAGAGAGUGAGACUUGAGAGGUGAGAAAGAGAGGCCCCCCCCCCCCCCUCUCUCUCUCUCUCUCUCUCUCUCUCUCUCUCCACAGCUCACAGGACCCCACAGAUAUACCCCCUACAGUAUGUUGAGGACCCCCCUAGCCAACAUACUGCCCACAUAGCCUUAUCAAUGUUACUAUAAAGUAUAUGUGUGUGUGUUUUUCUGUUAAUAAAAAGUUAAUUUGAAAUAUGUUAUAUUCCUAUGAGAGAGAGAGAGAAGGCAACAAGGCAAGGUAAGAAGAUACAAACAAAAUAAACUGUCAAUUGUUUGUAUGGCUAACCAUAUAAGACUUUAUGUUAUAGAGAAAGAAAGCUAACUAAACUGUAUAGGCCUAUGAAUAUGCCUACUUAGUGAGUGGCAGCUGAACUCUCUAACAAAGGCAAUAUUAACUUGAGAGAGAGAUCUCUAAUCUGUAUGUAGCAAACUGUAUAGGCCUAUGGAUAUGCCUACCUAUUGAGAGGAAGCUGAACUCUAUAACAAAGGCAAUAUUAUAAUAACAGAAAAAAAGAGAAAAAGCUAACUCUAAACUGUAUAAAACUAAUUGUAUCUAAACUGUAGGCAAAUUGACCUCAACUAUACAGUAAACCCUGGAUAUAACGGACCCGCUUAUAACGGAUUUUGGAUAUAACGGACAAGGUCAGAGGGUUAGAAAUCCACGCGGACCGACUGAGAAUAGUUUUUGAACCACCCGCUUCUGGUAACUACAACAGCGUCUGCUGGUCACCUCACCCUCCUCCCUUUAUCUGCCGCCCCAUCCCUGGGUUACUGUAGUCUGCCUCGGCCCACCUCAUGAAAUAUUUCCUCCUCGUGGUUUCCAUUCAAAUGAAGAACGUAUUUAUACCACAAGAAAGUCUUAUGCAUCAAUCCAGGGCGUAAUGUAAUGGAAAAUAGCCAAGUGUUUGCGAGUGUCAGUACAGGCACAGCCUAACCCUUUCCUUGCGCGCGGUGCGGACGCGACUAUCCCCUCAGGCGCUGUCGGGGAGCCCAAUGGGGGGUCUCUUUUAACCUCUGUAUCUCAAAAACUAUUCAUCACAGCUAAAAAACAAAAUCACCAUUGGAAAGAGGAGGUCCAGAUCUAUCGGAGUCGGUUAUGUAUGCCUCUCUUGCGAACGUACAUGCACGUUCACGGAGUGUUGAAUGUUAACACUUACGUCGGUGCGUGCGGGAUGAUCAGCUGUAUUGAGGGAACUGCGGACAUCUUUUCUUCAGAUUCUGGCAAUAUUUACAACUAUUUGGUCAAAGAAUCAGUCAGUGACAGGUGAAGCUAUGCAAAAAUGCCGCUAUAUUGGGCAAGAACAUCCACCAGUUGCUUGUCCGUACAUUUGCCGCGCUGGGCUGAUAUGAUUUUCCACCAAAUUUAGUGAAGAAUCCACUCAAUUGGGAAUCCUGUGUUGUGAGAUUUAGUGUUGGAACACUCUCAUAUGCGGGUGGAGGUUGCAGUGAGUGUUUAGCACCACCAGCAAAUACGCCUAAUGCCCGCUGCAAGCGUUUAGCAAUGAAAGGGUUAAGAGUGUCGAGGGGGGAUAGACCACCACUUAAGUAGGUUAGGUUAAGUUAUCUUUGGUUAGUAAAUGUAUUGGACACGCGGUGUGGGGCGCGGCAAUACGCAGCGCGGGACGGGACAUGGCGGCGGUGUGUGUGGUCCAGUUCGCGGACUGGUGUUCCGAGAAAUACCUCCUUGCAGAAAUAAGUCACUCUGGUGUCCACCACGCAUGCGCACUGGUGGGAUAUACGGCAGGAAAAACAUUAAUUAACCUGGUUUUGUUCUAGUUUGUCCACUUGUGAUCUUUGCGAGCGGUGAGUGAAAUGUAGAAGGUUUUGUUUAGUCGGCGCAACAUCUGUGGUCAUAUGCCGGAGAGAGACAGAAGGGGAAGGAAUUAUAGGAGAAGGGAACAGACCCCAGGAGACGGGACACAACCCCCGAUUAAUACCCGUUACCCAUUCACUGCUGGGUGGACAGGGGUGUAGGGUAUCGGAAAAGCUGCCUAAAUUUUCCCACUCCACCCGGGAAUCAAACCCGGGCUCUCUCGGUUGUGAACUGAGUGUGCUAACCACUGCACCACAAAGCCCCCAGCUAAGUUCAACAAAAGUCACGCAAUUAUGGGCUUUAGAAUCAACUGCUUUAAGGUUGCUUUUUCCUUAACUUGCUUCACCACACAGUGCAGCAAGAAAUAAGCCACUGCCAGAUGACGCCAAAAUCAGAACACUGACUUCGUUGGUUUGGUCGCCCGGUCUACACUAAACACCUCAUGUCUAAUUCACUUAAGAAUAAAUGGUCAAUGUCCUCAACUUUGAUAUCAAGGUGGCAAUGUUGUACAAUAUCCAAAAUAAUCGGGUCACUAGUAAUGCUACGCCACUCAUGUGCAAAGUAAUGCAUCAAAGCUGUUACUUGCCUCUGCUACUGCCUGGGCUAGUGUUUCUAAUGCAUGCCAAACAUACUGCUCCUUUAUACACACUAAGUGAAUUAUAUAACUCUUGCAGCAUACACUGACCUGAGGGUAAAACUGUUGUUUCUAUCUGAAGAAGUGAAGGCCUUGGCAAGACAAAAUCCAGAAUAAAAUGUUGCAGCAUCGCAUGAUUAUAACAAGGCAGUGGACUGUGAGCACCAUAAAAGCAGGCUUCUAAGAGAUUAACCCCUUGACUGAGGAUUUCCUACCAGAAGACAUCACCAAGCUACAGGAAUGGAACAAAAAGUGGCUGCUACAAUUCAAUGAAGAAAAAUGUAAAGUCCUGCACCUUGGGAGGGGACAUCCAGCACACCAAUACUACAUGGGAAACACUCCACUAUCCACCACAGAAGCAGAGAAAGACCUGGGAGUGUAUGUUACCAGGCUACCAGUGAAGGCAAAAUCCGUGCCAAUCGCAGCGGACGGGUUAAGUAACAGGCAAAUAUAAUCAUGUGCUGUAACAACAAAAUUUGGAGUUUUACUGCACCAUGAACAACUGUCAGGACAUGAAGGUUAGAUAGAAGAAAAAUGAUCAAUAUGAAACUUAUGAACUGAAUGACUCAACAAACAACAACUACCAUGAACUUGCAGACCAUGUGACACAAACAGUGAGAUAUGAUGACACAGUGAUGAAGGUUACGACUGUACCUGACAAGGCCGUGUGCCACAGACAGGAUGGCCGGCACAGCUCAGUCAGGACCUUUAUGAGAAGCUGCAGGGUGGGACAGCUGGGGUGCUGCAGCCGAGGGUCUGUUGGCCAGGACGCUGCGGAGGGCCACGCAGCAGAGGCAGGACUGGAGGAGACAGUGGCUGUGUAGGGUUAUGGAGAUGGAAAUAAAAAAGAUGACACAGUGUUAAGUGUGUGUAAGAACCAGGAACUGAAGGUGCUGAGGACUUGUUGAGAAAGAAAACUGGGAAAUAAAUUACCUUCAAGAAGGCUGGUGCAGAAACACAUGAGGUCUGCUGCUGCUGGUGAGAGGCAGACACACAGGCGAAGUGACACACUACUCACCACUCCCAGGAGGGGCUUGUUGGACACGUUACAGUGUGUGUGUGUGUGUGUGUGCUGACACUGAGCAGUGUGUGUGUGUGUUGAUGUGACAGCCUUCAAUAUGAAAAAAAUUACAAUGAAUAGAGUGAGGAAAAUGCAGCUUUGCAAACCAGAAUUGAUGAGUCAGGAUAUAAGUUUUCAGCUUCAGUUGUGAAUGAGAAUCACUAAAAGGGAAACUUUCCUGAGGCAGCAACAGAGCUCUGUGGAGUGACACGAGGAAAGGGAGGAAGGAAACACAAGGGGUGGCAACAGAAGGCCGUGGUCCAGCAGGAGGCUGUGGAAAGAGAUAUGAUUUUAUGACAUGGCAAAGUUGGAAAGUUUGGUUUAGUCAGCGCAACAUCUGUGGUCACAUGCCGGAGAGUGACAGGAGGGGAAGGAAUUAUAGGAGAAGGGAACAGACCCCAGGAGACGGGACACAACCCCCGAUUAAUACCUGGUACCCAUUCACUGCUGGGUGGACAGGGGCGUAGGGUAUCGGAAAAGCCGCCCAAAUUUUUCCACUCUGCCCGGGAAUCAAACCCGGGCUCUCUCGGUUGUGAGCCGAGUGUGCUAACCACUGCACCACGAAGCCCCCGACAUGUGGCUGGACAAAAUGCAAAGAAAUAUUUGUUAGGAUUUAAUAGUCACUGUAACACGGAACACUCAGGGACCUCAAAGCAUCAGUGUGUUGACUUAGCGAGUGUUGAAAUGAGCUCUUCAGUGACUACCAUUAUGAGAGCUGUGCCUUGUGUAUUACUAUUGAUGAAGUUGUGAUCGUUGUUAGUGAGCAAAUAAAGCAGAAGAAAUAGAGAAACAACUGGCGAUGUUUUGGGGGCUGUGCGACUUAGGGAUGUGUGCUCACAAACUUCCAUAUUAGAUGAUGCUUACUGGGAGUGCUGAUGAAUGGUGGUUACUAUGAGUGCUAGAGACAGGUGCUGGGAGUGCUGAUGAAAGGGGAGGUGAGAGGUACAGGCAUUAGUCAGGCAUUCAAUAAAACAAGGGUUAGUAACAAUGAUAUGUAUUUGUAUGACAUUAGGAACAUGCAUUAGAACUGUUUCCCAGAGGCACCACCACCAGCGAACUUGUCCCCCUCAGCCCAUGCCCCUACCCUGAGGUCACUGAGGAGGAAAAGGAGGGAGGAGGAAAAAAAGAGGAGGAGGAGGAAGAGAAAGAAAAAGAGGAGGAAAAGAAGAGGAGGAGGAGAAUGGAGAAGGAGGAGGAGGAGGAGGAAGAGAAAGAAGUAGAGGAGGAGAAAGAGGAGGAAAAGAAGAGGAGGAGGAGAAUGGAGAAGGAGGAGGAGGAGGAGGAGGAAGAGAAAGAAGUAGAGGAGGAGAAAGAGGAGGAGGAGAAUGGAGAAGGAGGAGGAGGAAGAGAAAGAAGAAGUGGAGGAAAAGAAGAGGAGGAGGAGAAUGGAGAAGGAGGAGGAGGAAGAGAAAGAAGUGGAGGAAAAGGAGGGAGAAGGAAAAGAAGAGGAGGAGGAAGAGGAGGAGAAGAAGAGGAGGAGGAAAAUGGAGCAGGAGGAGGAGGAAGAGAAAAAAGAAGAGGAGAAAGAGGAGAAGGAAAAGAAGAGAAGGAAGAGGAGGAAGAGAAAGAAGAAGAGGAGAAGGAAAAGAAGAGGAGGAAGAGAAAGAAGAAGAGGAGAAAGAGGAAGAUGAAAAAAAGGAAAACUAAACUCGACCACAGAACACAACACAGAGUGACAGCCGUGAAAAUCUAUCCUGCAUAAGAAGACAAUCUGAACCAUGAACAUCCUUAAGAAAAAUUGAGUCUAAGAUAUGUGUUGUUUUUUUAUACAGACGUCAAUUUGAAUCAUGACAUAACCAUAACAUUCAACAUUCAGCUCAAAAUACUAGUGAUUUUUUUUUAUACAUAGAUGAUUUGACCCAUGAACACACCCACAUCCAUAAGGUAUAUUUGCCUGGAGUUAGUGUAAGUUGUUACUGGUGUUAGCGUGCUCAAUCCUGCCCUGGUAAAGGUUCUAAUUCCAUCUCUCCACCUGGUUCUCUGUCUGGUGUUAGUGUGCUCCAUCCUGCCCCGGCAAAGGUUCUAAUUACAUCUCUCCACCUGGUUCUCUGUCUGGUGUUAGUGUGCUCCAUCCUGCUCUGGCAAAGGUUAUAAUUCCAUCUCUCCACCUGGUUCUCUGUCUGGUGUUAGUGUGCUCCAUCC